GAUGAACGCUGGCGGCGUGCUUAACACAUGCAAGUCGAACGAAGCACUUUUAAUUCUUCGGAAGAGGAAGUGACUGAGUGGCGGACGGGUGAGUAACGCGUGGGUAACCUGCCUUAUACAGGGGGCUAACAGUUAGAAAUGACUGCUAAUACCGCAUAAGCCGAUAGAGUCGCAUGACCUAGUCGGAAAAGAUUUAUCGGUAUAAGAUGGACCCGCGUCUGAUUAGCUAGUUGGUGAGGUAAUGGCCCACCAAGGCGACGAUCAGUAGCCGGCUUGGGAGAGUGAACGGCCACAUUGGGACUGGGACACGGCCCAAACUCCUACGGGAGGCAGAAGUGGGGAAUAUUGCACAAUGGGGGAAACCCUGAUGCAGCAACGCCGCGUGAAGGAAGAAGUAUUUCGGUAUGUAAACUUCUAUCAGCAGGGAAGAAAAUGACGGUACCUGACUAAGAAGCCCCGGCUAACUACGUGCCAGCAGCCGCCGUAA
rnacentral:rRNA from 1 species